rnacentral:rRNA from 1 species
UACAGAGGUCUCGAGCGUUAGGCGGAAUCACUGGGCUUAAAGCGUGUGUAGGCGGAUCGUUAAGUACCUUGUGAAAUCCCACGGCUUAACCGUGGAACUGCUUGGUAUACUGGCGGUCUUGAGCCAGCUAGGGGCUACCGGAACAAAUGGUGGAGCGGUGAAAUGCGUAGAUAUCAAGUGGAACACCAGUGGCGAAGGCGAGUCUCUGGACAUUUCCUGACGCUGAGGCACGAAAGCCAGGGGAGCAAACGGG